AUGACCAAGUCCAAGAACCACACCACACACAACCAGUCCCGCAAAUGGCACAGAAAUGGCAUCAAGAAACCCCGGUCGCAAAGAUACGAACCUCUUAAGGGGGUUGACCCCAAGUUCCUGAGAAACAUGCGCUUUGCCAAGAAGCACAACAAGAAAGGCCUGAAGAAGAUGCAGGCCAACAAUGCAAAGGCAGUAAAUAUGCCCGCAGAGGCCAUCAAGCCCAAGAUGCCAAAAGGCCCCAAAUUCAAGCGGCUGGCUUUCAUUGCUCACCCUAAGCUUGGGAAGCAGAUUCAAAGCUACAUGGCCAAGGGUCAGAGGCUCUGCCAACUGAAGCCUAAGGUUCAAACCAAGGCAGGGGCCAAAGCUCCAACUAAGGCCCAGGCUUCAGACCCAGCCCAGGCUCCCAAAGGUGCUCAGGCCCCCAAAGGUGCCCAGGCCCCUAUGAAGGCCCCAUAG
rnacentral:lncRNA from 1 species